rnacentral:rRNA from 1 species
CCGCGUGAGGGAUGAAGGCUCUCGGGUUGUAAACCUCUUUCAGCAGGAACGAAAUUGACGGUACCUGCAGAAGAAGCUCCGGCCAACUACGUGC